GACGAACGCUGGCGGCGUGCUUAACACAUGCAAGUCGAACGGAAAGGCCCUGCUUUUGUGGGGUGCUCGAGUGGCGAACGGGUGAGUAACACGUGAGUAACCUGCCCUUGACUUUGGGAUAACUUCAGGAAACUGGGGCUAAUACCGGAUAGGAGCUCCUGCUGCAUGGUGGGGGUUGGAAAGUUUGGGCGGUUGGGGAUGGACUCGCGGCUUAUCAGCUUGUUGGUGGGGUAGUGGCUUACCAAGGCUUUGACGGGUAGCCGGCCUGAGAGGGUGACCGGCCACAAUGGGACUGAGAGACGGCCCAGACACCUACGGGAGGCAGCAGUGGGGAAUAUUGCACAAUGGGCGGAAGCCUGAUGCAGCAACGCCGCGUGCGGGAUGACGGCCUUCGGGUUGUAAACCGCUUUCGCCUGUGACGAAGCGAGAGUGACGGUAAUGGGUAAAGAAGCACCGGCUAACUACGUG
rnacentral:rRNA from 1 species